GCUUAUGGCCAUACCACCCUGAGCACGCCCGAUCUUGUCUGAUCUCGGAAGCUAAGCAGGCUCGAUCCUGGUUAGUACUUGGAUGGGAGACCGCCUGGGAAUACCAGGUGCUGUAAGCU
ensembl:rRNA 5S_rRNA 5S ribosomal RNA